UACAGAGGUCUCAAGCGUUGUUCGGAUUCAUUGGGCGUAAAGGGUGCGUAGGCGGCGUGGUAAGUCGGAUGUGAAAUCUCGGGGCUUAACUCCGAAACUGCAUUCGAUACUGCCGUGCUUGAGGACUGGAGAGGAGACUGGAAUUUACGGUGUAGCGGUGAAAUGCGUAGAUAUCGUAAGGAAGACCAGUGGCGAAGGCGGGUCUCUGGACAGUUCCUGACGCUGAGGCACGAAGGUCAGGGGAGCAAACGGG
rnacentral:rRNA from 1 species